UGGUGGGAAAGGCAGCGUGAGUGAAAGCUGACGGAUUGGAGCGCCCGUUUGCGGCUUGAAGAUGCCCGUGUUGUUGUUGGUCCCGCGGCGCAAUUUAGGCAUGAGAAAAGUUGAAUCGAUAACACGCAAAGGGGAUAAACGGAUCGAGUUACCUUGACUAUUGUCGAGUGAGAGAUGGAGCGGCGGUUUGUUCAGCGGUUGAAGAGCUUCGUGAGAGUCGUUCGUAACCAACGAGUUGGCUGAUAUGGAGAUACCACUGUCAGAGCCAUUGAACCCCGCAGCACUUCCGCCGGGCCUGCCGCUGAUGAUGUUAGAGAAAAGAGAUUGAGGGCGUCGCCUUGCGGACGCGUGGAACUCGAAUGGAACAGCGGACGAUGACGUGAUAGGAACGGUGGAGCGAGAAUCCACGGUGAUGAUGAUGAUGGUAAUUAUGGUGCGAAUCGACCGAGUGAAACAAAUGAUGCGUUUGCUGCAGCGAUCGCGAACGAUUCAAGAUCAACCGGCCGUCAAGGUCUUGGGCGGCAUCGUCCAGACUGCAAAUACUCGUUUGCAAACUGGAAAUGUUGGAACGUUGUAGCUGUAACGAGCUUCUGUCCGGCUCCGAAUGACCAGUCAUGUCAAUAUUUGGAUUGCUGUUCAUACUGGACGUCACCGCUUUUCUGGCUCGGAUGACGGCCUGCUGAAUUUUACGCACGAUCGGAUGAUUCACGGCUGAAUCAACUUCUUCUGGUGGGUUGUCCGGCUCAGAUGGCCACCAAUCGCUUCGUCCAUCGAAAAAUGAUGUCUCGUAAACAUACCGGAUUUUUACGGCCGAAGCCAUCCGCACGAAUGGAUUUUUCAAGAAUAUUCUUAACUCUUCGAAACCUGGAACACGGAAGCUUAAAAAAAAAAUUGCAUAAACGGAUGCUUGUUUACAACUUCGGAUGGAGGUCAAGAAGAACGUAAUGCGAAACUUACUGCGGACAGAUGAAUGAUGGAUGAGACGAGAGAAGGUGCUUGUCAAAGCUGCGGCUGCCGCCACGGCCGGGGGCACGACCCGUUAUGAUGGAGGAUGGAAGUAAAGCACGUUGGAACUUGUUCCCGCUGAUACCUGGCUCCUCAUGGGUGAAUCAUCGGGCUCCCCCCGUUCAACGAAGAAGCUCCGCCCACCCCUGACAGCAAACCGACGGGACCAGUCGAUGAGGUUGCGUACUCGUGGUACGAGAUGAAGGAGCGGAUAUCCGCUUCUCGGCACCACUGCUGGCAAGCGUGAUGAUGGAAUAAAGAGAGGAUCUGCCCAAGGCCUCGUAAGUAUAUUGCAUUAUUCCCGUCCGCCCCCGUUUUUACCAAUUGGACGAUAUGAAACGGAGAGAGGAACAAAGAGCGAGUUCUAGUCGGUUAGGCAUGUAGAAUAGAAUAAGGGCGACAGUAGCGAAAUGUAGUAUCACAGUUGUUGGAUCUAUUAUGAAAUUCCCUGUUGAGCUGUCUCGCUCUGACAACCAAGAGAAACACAAGAAAGAAAGAAAAAAUAUUUGCAGAUAUAAUUCUUUUUGUCUUUCAGCAAAUAGCAGCUUUCUUUGUUCUUUCACGUUUAUCUGUGCGUUUGUUUUAGGCGCUCUACUGAACACGAAUUAGAUCGUUUUGUAGCGAUUACUUCGUCAAUGCCUCUCGUUGCUAAUUUCACGAUGUAUUGCCGUGCCAGGAUUAUUUUUUUUUUUUACAUCUGUAGGAAGAAUCAAUCGCUCAAGAUUGCAAUGGCCUUUGUGAUGUAGCUUUUAUUAUUCUUAACGAUGGUGUUAAUCCCUUGACUUAUUUUAGGACCCGUCAAAUUCAAGAGGCCGUGAAUCAUAAAGGCUUAGUUGAUCUGGUGUGUACUCGAGUGAACGUGAAUACAACAGUCACGAUUUC